AAUCAACGCUGGCGGCAGGCUUAACACAUGCAAGUCGAGCGGAGAUGAGGUGCUUGCACCUUAUCUUAGCGGCGGACGGGUGAGUAAUGCUUAGGAAUCCGCCUAUUAGUGGGGGACAACAUUCCGAAAGGAAUGCUAAUACCGCAUACGUCCUACGGGAGAAAGCAGGGGAUCUUCGGACCUUGCGCUAAUAGAUGAGCCUAAGUCGGAUUAGCUAGUUGGUGGGGUAAAGGCCUACCAAGGCGACGAUAUGUAGCGGGUCUGAGAGGAUGAUCCGCCACACUGGGACUGGGACACGGCCCAGACUCCUACGGGAGGCAGCAGUGGGGAAUAUUGGACAAUGGGGGGAACCCUGAUCCAGCCAUGCCGCGUGUGUGAAGAAGGCCUUAUGGUUGUAAAGCACUUUAAGCGAGGAGGAGGCUACUGAGACUAAUACUCUUGGAUAGUGGACGUUACUCGCAGAAUAAGCACCGGCUAACUCUGUGCCAGCCGCCGCCGUAAGAC
rnacentral:rRNA from 1 species